GAAGCAGGUAGAUUUUAGAGAGAACUUCCUUCUGCUUUUGAAGAGCUAAGCUGAAAAUUUUGUUCUCUAAAAUUACAACAAUCCGUGUUUAUCCGUUUACUCAAAAAGUCUGUGAUCAUCCAGGUGAGGAGAGGAACAGUUAGUGGUGUCAACUGUAUCGCUCGAAAUUGCAAUUUUUGCUUCAGGAAUUGGAUGCAUUUGGAAAAAGGCAGAGCCAUCUAGAGGAAUACCCCAGCUAUUACGAGGCAGUGUGAAAGGUGGUUUCCCUCAAAGGCAUGCUAUGUUGCCUUUGAGUUUUCUUCAGCUGAUUUCUCUACCUCCAACAAAGGAAAUGGGUGAGAAAAUAAUGCUGAAUUAGCUCUAAUAAAAAUGCGUGUCCUCAGAAAACUCCAGCUCGCUUUACCAAACAGUGCGAAACGUGAAACAAAAAUAGCUUUAUAAAGGUUAUUACGUAGCCAGGAUAGCACGGAUAUGCAAACCAAGACUUAAUUUAAAGAGUGGAAAAAAUAAAGCUUUGAUGGUGAGAUGGCUUUAGAAAUGUUUAAUUUUCUUAAAGCGUUUAUCCUGCAAAUGGUAUUCAGUAUUGCCUGAAUACAUUGUGAGCUCUUGGUACAAACCUGUUGCUUUUCCCUUUUGCCAAGACAUGUGAAGAGAAACACUGAGAAAUCCAGCACUCUGCCUUUGUACUUGCUAAACUGUACUCUUUUCCAGAGAGGUCUGGGAGAUGUUUGCCUUUGAGAAAUGCAGGAAGCAGCCAGCAAGCAAGGUGCUGAAGCCCAAAAAUGAAAUCGGCUUCAAGUCUUCCAGGCCCUGAUUUUACUCCCUCUGUAACUGAUGGGAGUCAAGGUGGAAGGACUGUCCCCUCUUUACCGUGCUGCUUUACAGAAUGCCCAGAUUUUAAAAGUGAGUCUUCUUAAUUUAUGUAAUUCCUGGGAAUUUUAGAGUGCAGACUUGGCUUCAUUUACAUCAGAAAUAGGAUCCAUU
rnacentral:lncRNA from 1 species